GUGUGGGAGGGAGAGCAGCAGUACCCGUGCCAGCAGAGCAGGAGAAGCUGACCAAGCACCAGCUGACUUCUGGACAGAGACCUUAGGCUGGGGUGAGAAGACAAGGGAAGAUGCCCAGCUUAGGAUGGGUAAUUUAGGGAGACAUGUGAAAGGAAUGGGAUCAUCCAGAGCAGGAGGAAUUUUUUUUUUUUUUUUUUUUUUUCUUACUUGCAGUCAUAUAAUUCUGAAUUGGGAUGCCCUGGGAGUCUUAGGACAAGCCGGGACUGGAGCAGAAGGAGCUGCGGGCAAGAUGUUGCCUGAGGGUCCAGGAGGGAUGGGCUUACACGGGAGCAGCUGCUCCACUCCUUUCACUCAGACAGCUAAGCAUUCUAAGGUUUGUGGGCCAGAGACUUGACAAAACACCCGAUAGAGCUGUGAGGUCAGGCACUACAAUCAUUUCUCUUUCGGUACGGGAACCGUGUUCUGUCACCAGGAGAUCCAUCAGAAGGAGCCACGAGGUAAUUGCAGCACCAGGUAACAGCACUGAGCACACAGAGGGUAUUUUUCUGGCUCUUUGCAUUGUUGUGAAUGAGCCUUGAGGACCCAGAAGAGACGCUGGGGACCACUAGAGAGCUUGAGGGGCAGCUCUGUUUCGGCAGCUGGAUCCGAUCUGCCCUGAGCACCGCCCAGCGGCGGCAGGGCCGGGGUGCCGGGGCGCUGCGCUGCGCCUUUGGGCUGGGAUUAGCGCCACCCCAAACUGCCGCACCUCUUUCCUCUAGCUGAGCCCUGGCAAUCGAACGCGGACCUGAAACACUUCCUCCUGCUCCCAACUGUGACACAGCUGGAUUUAUCUAGAGAUACAUUAUUGCUAACAUUUUUCUGUCUUUAAACACUUUAUUGGCAAAACACAGUAAAGUUCGCUUUUUUAAAAAAAAGUGCUUGCUUUCUCCUCUGUUGUGUUAUCCUAUUCAAUCUUCAAAGCACUACUUGGUCUAUGAACAAGUUAUGGCUUGUUCUCUCAUCAUGUGUCCUCAAUCUCAAAUGACUUGAAAUUGAGACAGUUUGAACAAAGACUUUGAGAGAGUAAGAUUUUACUUAGUCACUGCAGUUGCUAUCCACAUUUGUACAUGCAUGCAUACAUACAUGUAUGCAUAUAAAUAUAUACAUAUGUAUAUAUAGAAAAAAGAAGAACAACAAGCCCUUCUAAACCCAGAACAUACCUAGUUUAACUUAUUCCUCUAUAAUUUCGCUGUGGUUCUUAAUAGCUGCUCCCCACAGUGCUGACAAAUGGUGGGAAUAUUUUUUUUGUGUUGAGAAUAGAAUGUUUAUUAAUGGAUAAUAUUCUGUCAGCCAUGCUUAUUACAGCAAUCCUAUAUAUGCUGUUAACAGUGACCCACCUGUAGGCCUGCAUGCCUCCUUCAUAAAGAUAUCCUGAGACUGUCCUGCAUUUUUGUCAUUGCAAUGAUGCAGACAUCAGAAACAUAGCUGGGCACCAGUAAUAUACUGCUCUCCUUAGGGCAAAACCAAGCUAGGUUGUCCUCAGCCUUCCUGUCCUCAACCUGUCUCCUCCUUCUUGCUUUUGUUUGUUCUUCUUAAUCUCAUGUUUACCAGUUGAAUAGUUCAUCUUUUACAAAGUUCUCUGAAGUGAUCUGAGCAAAAAUCAAAAUCAACUUUCUUUAUAAAAUGUAACUCCUCAGGACAACCCAUUGUAAAUGUCCACACUUGUCAUGGCUGGACAGUAACCCACUCUAUAAUAUGUUUAUCAAUAUCAGUCCAUAAUAAUUUAUAAAUCCUCUGAAAUUAAACCUAAAUCACCUCCAUCCCACCACUCUGUACAGUAUGAAUUAUACUUUUAGGAGAUAAGAACUGAACUGUUUUUAGACAGAGCAGAGGGGAUAUUUUUAAAGCAAAGUGGUCUUAGCAGGAUUUGACUCUCAGCGGCACAGCUCUGUGUCAUGGCUCUUAGGCUAAAACACUAAAACACGUUUUCUCUUUUUUUUUGCUUUUUUUUUUUUUCUUUUUACUCUGUUCUUUUUGAAAAUAAAAUCCUGAGCUCAAAUAUAUAGCUUUCAAGGGGAUGCUUCUGUGCUAUAGCCUCACAGUUGUAUCCCUAGCCAACACACUGAAUUUUUGGGUAAAGAUUUAAUCCUGGUCCUGUAGCAUGUCACACAUUCUCAAUUCUGAAUGACCUGAGCAUAUGGAAGGAAAAUAUCAGGAGGUUUAAGAGCCUGCUGUAAUGAGACUCGCAGGAUUAACAAACCUUGCCGGCAUCAGCCGGCUGCAGCUUUGCUGCUUUCCACUUCAGCGUUUUCCCACGAGAGGGCAAUGUCAUCCCUGUUUUCCAUCCUUCAGCGGCACAAGACUCCAGAGCUUUGCCAGCCUACACAUUGCCCCCUCUGCUGACCGAUCCACGCUCAGUUUGCUGCGAUGUUCUUAUAUAACUGGACCUAUUUAGCAUUGUGGUUGUUAAUCUUCAAUAACGUGUCUUCCAUUUGCUGGCAAAGGAAAUACUAGUAACUGGGAGACUCUUCCCUAGCAAAGGCACUGUGAGCUCCAAAAUGAUCUGUCAUUAUGUGAGCCCUGAACGUGUGUGCUUCUUUGAAAUAUUGUAAUUUACUUUCUAUAUAGAUUUGUAUGAGGAAAGCAGCUUCAGAAUUAGUGCUGGCUGUCUAUCCUUAAACAACACUGUUAUCAAGCAGAUGAACAGGAGUUGUGUUUUUGUGUAAUUGCCACUGAAGAGGAGCUGUGAGGGGAAAAGCUGUGAGGAAGAAGAGGGUAAUUACUGCUCAGUGAUUUGGCAAAUCAUCAGUACCAAAGUUGUCCUGUAAAUCAACCUCAUGUUUCAAUGAUCUGCUGUAAGAGCUCUUCAUAUAUAUCAGGAAUAAACUAUGUUUUGAACCCAAGGCAAGCAGGACAAAUUAGCAACACUGUCCAUUCCAGUGAUACCAGUUGUUUUGCUAUCUGGCCUGUCAGCAGGGCAAGCACAAUGUUGCAACAUCCCACUCCUCCCCAUCAUUCUCUCUUCACCACAGCAGCAGGAAAGAUAAAUGGUAUUCCGGAAGAAACAUCUCAGCAGAAAUCCAUGCCAGUGCUACAUCUCUGCAUCUUGCAGGAAGCCUUUAGUAUCUGUUGGGAUGGAGUCUACAUGAAUUCCCCAAGUGAGCAAGUGUCACGUCCAAGGCUAGGUAUCAGAGCUUCCUGGCUCCAGGCCUUCUGUUUUGAGACAGCUCUUUCAAAAGGGAUCCGAAAAUUCAAACUGAUGAUGUUUUGAAAAUGUUCCUACAGAUGCCUUUUCUGCAUUCCUCCAACCACUGUAGAUCAUGUUCAUUCAGUGCAGACUUGGCUGGUGUGAUUUAUUAAUGUGCUGCAUGAAUAAAUGGUGAUGCUCUCAGGAACAUUCAGUGGCUGAUGGACAUGUGUGAUGGAAAAGGAGCACUGCUGCCUACUAUGAACAAUAUGCUGUGGACUCUUUUGGCAGCUUUGUGGUUUCCAUUGUCUGAACAUCCUUCUAGACUCGUCCAGGGUAUCUUCUGCUACCUGAAUGGUGUAAAAGGAUUAGAAGAGGGUCAGAAGCAUCCACACAGUUCAUGUUACAAUUGUCAUUAAUCUCCUCUCUUGCUUUAUCUAGAGAUUAUUUAUUAGUUUAAUUCUCCAAUAUGGUAAAAGGGACUGAACACAUUUACAGAGUCAUUUUUUUGUCCUUUCCACCCUCUUUUUUUAGUAGGUUUUUUUUUUUGUUUGGUUGCAGUUUUUUUGUGGUGUUUUUUUCUUUGUUGGGGUUUUGGAUUUUUGUUUUGGUUUGUUUUUUGGGGUUUUUUUUGCAUUUUUUGUUGUUGUUGUUGAUUUUAUUUUUGGGGUUUUCUGUGUUACAUGUAUUAAAAAAAUUGCAAAGGUUAUUUUUUUGCCACUUAAGUGCAAAAUGUUCCUUGGUUGUUUAUUAGUUUCAUGUUUUGUCUAGGUACAGCUUUAAAAAAAGUAGCAGUUAAAUGCAAUUCUAACUGAACAAACUAAACAGUCUCUCAGCAGUUGCAUCUCUGGAAUACUGCCAGAUUGAGGCAGGCAGUGGCCUCAGUGGCAACUGGGCUGAGCUUAACUGUGCUGCAUGGCACACAGCUGUGCAGCAGCAGGGCACUUUGGCACAAAUGCCAUCCUGUAUUCACUGACCCUCACACCUUGCACCUGGAAUAAGAUUGAUGGGAAGCAAUAAGAGAUAAAAGAUUCCAGCAGAAUUCAACUGUGCACUUUGCUCUUUUCUUUAAGCAGAGAACCUGGGAAAUAGCUUGAAAAUUAUGAUUUAAAAAGAGACAGGCUGUGCUACAGGAUAGGUUUGUGAUGCUCCUUCCCAUUCAUACGUGGGAAUUGGUUACCUCUGGAGUGAUGCAGAAGACAUGUCAGUGUCUGGGAGCUGGUAGUGUGUGAGUCAGCAUAUUCCCUUUCUACUGGGUAUCUGAUGAAGAGGUGGCAGCUGUAGUCCUCAAGAUGGUGGUCAGGUGCUGGUGGAGGCUCCCUGGACUGCCAGCCACAGCAAGAACAGACUUGUCCAGCCGAUGAUUUAUCUGCUCCAUGGAUAGGUGACAAGGAAUUGGACCCUAUUCUGCAGCUGAUUUGAACUUUGGCAGCUGCCAGUAAAUAUCUGUGUUGUGUGCCAUGUUCAAAGCUCUCAAGAGACCUCAUGAUGCCUUAGGGUCUGUCAGAUCUUACACACACAGAAUGAACAGAGAUGAACUCCUCCCACACCAUGCAAGCAGGUUUAAGUAGCUGAGUAGCUGUAAAGAACACAGGUCAUAGGACCAACCUUUUCACUUCUACUUACCUGACUUCCAAGCCACUUCAUUUUGUUCUUUUCUGAAUUCCAGCAAAGUGAAUAAAUACACUCUAAAAGAGAAAUCUGUGGCUCAAUAAAGUACAGAGUCUGAAGUAACACACACCAGUUUUUUCUUUCUACCUGACCAGAGGUUGCAGAGCUUUCUUCCUUUGCUGGAAAGUCUGUUGGGAGCUGCUGUUUUCCUCCACAGUGGUCUCCCCCUUUCUUAUCAAGGCUACAGUUUUCCAGAGCCAGUCCCUUCCUGGUAAGGGCAGCCUGGUCUGUGUUGUGGGAGACAGUGUGGAGCUGCACAUACAGACAAUCUUCCUCUAGAAACUCUCAGAGAACUGAAAAGCCAGCAUCCUUAAUGGAAGGUAUGAUUUCAGACCAUCUCCAUGUCUCCACAGGAGCCCAACUGCUACUGACAUGAAGAAAGCAAAGGAAUUUUUCUUCCUUGCUCCAGGCUAGGCACCAUAUGGCAUUGUUCUUAGAGAAAAAGAAUGUGCAUCUGUUUCCCAUUAAGUUUGCUUGAGACAAGCAAGGAGUCAAGGUUUCCCGUGAUUUAAUUUGAAGAGCAAUUUGGAUUUCCUGUGCCUCAGCUGGAGGUAUUAUUGGUUUGAGACCAGAAAUGCCCUAACUGUCCAAGGAGUUUCAUGUUCCACAAAGAAUAAUAACUACAGAAAUUUAAACAGGAUGUCAAGAAGUGUUACAUGUGGGCUCUCCAGUGUUUCUAAUAUAAAUUCACAUGAGUUUUGUUCUCUCUUUUUGCCACACAAAGUGACCAACUUGGAAAAGAUAAUAAGCUAACAAAUACUGCUCAGCAUAACUCACACGGAGAGGAGAUAAAAUUCCACAUCAGAUUCCCUGGAAAAGACAUGACUGACCUAAACAGCCAAGACUGUUUUUCACAGCUGGGCAGACAUCUGCCAGGCUCUGGUCAUGUGGGAUGUUCAGAAAGUCUGAACACAUUUCCUGUGACAGCAAGGUUCUGCAAUGCUUCUCAGAGAGAAGAGACACUCUUACUGCUUAUUUAAAUCAUGGCCUUGGUUCCUGUGAUCAACAUAUAAUGCUGACGGCAUAUUUGCAUGAAUAAUUGAACAUUAUUAAGAAUAUAAUGACCUAGAUGCUUUUAAUGGAUUUAUUUACAAACUACACUUCACUGUCUUUUGAACAAGGAAACGUUGUUUUGAGCCAAUCAGAUUGUCAAGAGGUUAAUAUAUCAGCACUUCCAUGGACCUCCUCUUCAAAAGAAAUCUUACUCCCACUGAAGUCAGCUCUGAUUUUUGUCAUAGGCUUGAUAUAGCUGAUAUUUUCACCUCUCGUGCUCCCAGAUGGCUGAGAGAGCUUUGGAGAGUCAAGUAUAGGUGUUGUGAUUUUUUAACACAUCCUCAGAUAAAUAUUCUUGCAUACAGACAGAUUUUUUUGUCUAAAAUACUCAUCACAUAUGUUUCCUCCUAACCAGAAUAAUCCACAAGACUCAGGGUUUUAACUCAGCUACAUCAAAAGGUGUAAUGCUGAUUAUUAUUUGCAGCUUACUAACUUCCUUUCAGCUUGCACUGGUUUAGGAACUUGUAAAAACUAUGUUAUAAUUCAGUCACUGUCAGAUUUAAGGAAAAAUUUGCAUUGUUUCUUUGACCGUAUAAACUCUACUGCAUUUUUUUCUGGUUAUGGUUAAACUGCACUGGAUUUUGUAAGAUGAUGCCAUUGCUGGAUAUUUAGGAAGCUUCAAAUCAUUCUGUUGUUUAAUGAUCUAGAAAUAGAAAUUUACCUGUAAAACUGUUUGCCUUAUUUUGACUGCAGUACAUAACUCUUCAUAGUGCAUAGAAAACACCAAAGACUUAAUAAAGGCAAUGAAGAUACCAAUAUUGGUAUUUCUUUAAGAUUCACACUUUUCCCCCCCUGGGUUUUCAUUUUUGUUUUUGUGUCUUUUUAAUGUUCACUUUUUAUGCAGACAUUUGGAUUUUUAAGUGAAAGUCAAAAGUGCUUCAGCAGAGCAAUUUACCUCAUGUCUUGUGUUUUGGAGGCACUGUUGAUCCCAAAAGCAAGAAAGCAAAAAAACCAGGCUACUCUGCUACUCUGUUCAACUUAUUUUAGGCUAUUCCAGGUUAUUCCUGAAAAAUAUGCAUCUUCUGCUGUUUUUGUCCUACUAUUUAUGUUUUUUAGUGUAUGAGAUUUUAAUUUUCAUAUUGAGAUUCCCCAGUGUUACUGAUCCCACAGCUAAGACACCUCAUGAUUUAUUAGUCUGUGUUUGUAGCUGAUAGGUGUUGUUUGUCAUAUCGUUCCACAUAAAUAUUCU